CUAACACAUACAAGUCGAGCGAGAAAGGGGACUUCGGUCCUUGAGUACAGCGGCGAACGGGUGCGUAACACGUGGGCAAUCUGUCUUCAAGAUGGGAAUAACCCAGCGAAAGUUAGGCUAAUACCCAAUAAGACCACGAAAAGCAAUUUAUGUGGUCAAAGAACGCCCCCUCUAGGGGCAUUCGCUAGAAGAGGAGCCCGCGACCUAUCAGCUUGUUGGUGAGGUAACGGCUCACCAAGGCAAAGACGGGUAGCUGGUCUGAGAGGAUGACCAGCCACACGGGGACUGAGACACGGCCCCGACUCCUACGGGAGGCAGCAGUGGGGAAUAUUGGGCAAUGGGGGAAACCCUGACCCAGCGACGCCGCGUGGGUGAUGAAGGCCUUCGGGUCGUAAAGCCUUGUCAAGAGGAAAGAAUGUUUUCGAAGCAAAUAGUUUCGAAAAGUGACGGUACCUCUGAAGGAAGCACCGGCCAACUCCGUGCCUGCAGCCGCGGUAAGACGGAGGGUGCAAGCGUUGCUCGGAAUCAUUGGGCGUAAAGGGUGCGUAGGCGGUCUCUUAAGUCUGACGUGAAAGUCCAGGGCUCACCCUUGGAAGUGCGCCAGAAACUGGAAGACUAGAGUACCGGAGGGGAGAGUGGAAUUCCUGGUGUAGCGGUGAAAUGCGUAGAUAUCAGGAGGAAUACCGGUGGCGAAAGCGACUCUCUGGACGGUAACUGACGCUGAGGCACGAAAGCGUGGGGAGCAAACAGGAUUAGAUACCCUGGUAGUCCACGCCGUAAACGAUGGACACUAGGUGUCGAGGGUAUCCACUCCCUCGGUGCCGCCGCUAACGCAUUAAGUGUCCCGCCUGGGAAGUACGGCCGCAAGGUUAAAACUCAAAGGAAUUGACGGGGCCCGCACAAGCGGUGGAGCAUGUGGUUC
rnacentral:rRNA from 1 species